rnacentral:rRNA from 1 species
GGCGUGCUAAUCUGCGAUAAGCGCCGGUAAGGUGAUAUGAACCGUUAUAACCGGCGAUACCCGAAUGGGGAAACCCAGUGUGAUUCGUCACACUAUCAUUAACUGAAUCCAUAGGUUAAUGAGGCGAACCGGGGGAACUGAAACAUCUAAGUACCCCGAGGAAAAGAAAUCAACCGAGAUUCCCCCAGUAGCGGCGAGCGAACGGGGAGGAGCCCAGAGCCUGAAUCAGCAUGUGUGUUAGUGGAAGCGUCUGGAAAGGCGCGCGAUACAGGGUGACAGCCCCGUACACAAAAGCGCAUAUGCUGUGAGCUCGAUGAGUAGGGCGGGACACGUGGUAUCCUGUCUGAAUAUGGGGGGACCAUCCUCCAAGGCUAAAUACUCCUGACUGACCGAUAGUGAACCAGUACCGUGAGGGAAAGGCGAAAAGAACCCCGGCGAGGGGAGUGAAAAAGAACCUGAAACCGUGUACGUACAAGCAGUGGGAGCCCCACCACUAAGCCAGUGGUGAACUCCACAUACGCAUCCUUUGCUGAGGAGACGGUUAACGGAGCGAAAGCGACGUUCAACCUCAAAAGAAGCAGAGGGGGCUUAGUGGUGGGGUGACUGCGUACCUUUUGUAUAAUGGGUCAGCGACUUAUAUUCUGUAGCAAGGUUAACUGUAUAGGGGAGCCGGAGGGAAACCGAGUCUUAACCGGGCGUUAAGUUGCAGGGUAUAGACCCGAAACCCGGUGAUCUAGCCAUGGGCAGGUUGAAGGUUGGGUAACACUAACUGGAGGACCGAACCGACUAAUGUUGAAAAAUUAGCGGAUGACCUGUGGCUGGGGGUGAAAGGCCAAUCAAACCGGGAGAUAGCUGGUUCUCCCCGAAAGCUAUUUAGGUAGCGCCUCGUGAAUUCAUCUCCGGGGGUAGAGCACUGUUUCGGCUAGGGGGCCAUCCCGGCUUACCAACCCGAUGCAAACUGCGAAUACCGGAGAAUGUUAUCACGGGAGACACACGGCGGGUGCUAAUGUCCGUCGUGAAGAGGGAAACAACCCAGACCGCCAGCUAAGGUCCCAAAGUCAUGGUUAAGUGGGAAACGAUGUGGGAAGGCCCAGACAGCCAGGAUGUUGGCUUAGAAGCAGCCAUCAUUUAAAGAAAGCGUAAUAGCUCACUGGUCGAGUCGGCCUGCGCGGAAGAUGUAACGGGGCUAAACCAUGCACCGAAGCUGCGGCAGCGACACCGUGUGUUGUUGGGUAGGGGAGCGUUCUGUAAGCCUGUGAAGGUGUGCUGUGAGGCAUGCUGGAGGUAUCAGAAGUGCGAAUGCUGACAUAAGUAACGAUAAAGCGGGUGAAAAGCCCGCUCGCCGGAAGACCAAGGGUUCCUGUCCAACGUUAAUCGGGGCAGGGUGAGUCGACCCCUAAGGCGAGGCCGAAAGGCGUAGUCGAUGGGAAACGGGUUAAUAUUCCCGUACUUGGUGUUACUGCGAAGGGGGGACGGAGAAGGCUAUGUUGGCCGGGCGACGGUUGUCCCGGUUUAAGCGUGUAGGUAUGUGUUCCAGGUAAAUCCGGUUCACUUUAACACUGAGGCGUGACGACGAGGCACUACGGUGCUGAAGCAACAAAUGCCCUGCUUCCAGGAAAAGCCUCUAAGCAUCAGGUAACAUCAAAUCGUACCCCAAACCGACACAGGUGGUCAGGUAGAGAAUACCAAGGCGCUUGAGAGAACUCG